rnacentral:lncRNA from 1 species
UCGAACAACUGUUAACUGCAUUAAGACUUAGAGAAACCUAAUUCUAACCUUGCCAACCGCGUGGUCAAGUUUAGAUUAUGCAACUUGAUUAAAUGUGUGUUUAAAUAAUCUAAGCAAUUACGGACCUAAAUUAUUCAAACAAUUGUUACUCAAGCAAUUAAAAGCAAUAGGCCUAAAUUGAUUCUAAAAGCAAAACAACAAUUAUAGAAAGGUCAAAUAGCAUAAAUAUUGAAAAUAAAUAGAAGUUUAACAAUGGAGAUUUAAAUCUCCCAAUUCAUCACAAAUCUGAAUUUUUCAACUUCAACUAGAAAAUAUGAAAAUUAGCCACUCAUGGUGGACAAAA